CGCCUUGAUGACGAGGAUCUCGUCUCCUAUAUCCUUGCUGAAUUGGAUGUAGACUUUAAUCCGGUUGUGACAUCAAUCGCAAAUCGGACUGAAGCUAUCAUCGUGGGUGAACUCUUUGCUCAACUUGUUAGUUUUGAGA
rnacentral:snoRNA from 1 species